AGGCAGCAGCCGCCGCGGUAAUACGUAGGGUGCAAGCGUUAAUCGGAAUUACUGGGCGUAAAGCGUGCGCAGGCGGUUAUAUAAGACAGAUGUGAAAUCCCCGGGCUCAACCUGGGAACUGCAUUUGUGACUGUAUAGCUAGAGUACGGCAGAGGGGGAUGGAAUUCCGCGUGUAGCAGUGAAAUGCGUAGAUAUGCGGAGGAACACCGAUGGCGAAGGCAAUCCCCUGGGCCUGUACUGACGCUCAUGCACGAAAGCGUGGGGAGCAAACAGGAUUAGAUACCCGCGUAGUCCCUGUCUCUUAUAC
rnacentral:rRNA from 1 species